UACAGAGGGUGCAAGCGUUAAUCGGAAUUACUGGGCGUAAAGCGCACGUAGGUGGGUAUUUAAGUCGGUUGUGAAAGCCCUGGGCUUAACCUGGGAACUGCAGUCGAUACUGGAUAUCUAGAGUAUGAUAGAGGUAAGUGGAAUUCCCGGUGUAGCGGUGAAAUGCGUAGAUAUCGGGAGGAACAUCAGUGGCGAAGGCGACUUACUGGAUCAAUACUGACACUGAGGUGCGAGAGCAUGGGGAG
rnacentral:rRNA from 1 species